rnacentral:rRNA from 1 species
CGGCGGACGGGUGAGUAACGCGUGGGUAACCUGCCUCAUACAGGGGGAUAACAGUUAGAAAUGACUGCUAAUACCGCAUAAGCGCACGGGACCGCAUGGUCUUGUGUGAAAAACUCCGGUGGUAUGAGAUGGACCCGCGUCUGAUUAGGUAGUUGGCGGGGUAGCGGCCCACCAAGCCGACGAUCAGUAGCCACCUGAGAGGGUGACCGGCCACAUUGGGACUGAGACACGGCCCAAACUCCUACGGAAGGCAGCAG